UUGCUGAACCAAAACUAAAGGAAUCCAACUCUGGCAACUCUCCUGGAUCAUUGUCAUCAUUGUCAUCCAGUGCCCUACACUUGGACCCUGCAGAAUCAUCUCAACAUCUUCCAGACAUGUUGAACAUUGGUGAUGAAUCAUCGGAUCUUAAGUCGCCUGGUUUCCUACCUUAGGCUGUGUGGUAUAUGUUAGAGCUUUCUUUGGAUAUAUGGGUAAAAAGUUAGGCAUGACUUUCUUUUGGUCUACAAACUGAUAUAGAGAAGAAUUACAGAUACUUGGUUCGUGUUUUUUAUAGGGUGAUUGUUGUUCAUUCCGUUGUUCACCCUUUUCUCUCGGUAUUACAUGUUUCUGCUAUUUCAGCAAAUUAUCUCCUUUCCUCUCAGGGGAGAGGAAAGUGAUCCUUUUGUACAUUUUGUUUCUACAGUUACAAAAUGGUUAUUAUUUCUAUGUCUCAGUUUGGUUUCA